rnacentral:rRNA from 1 species
CCUACGGGAGGCAGCAGUGGGGAAUUUUGGACAAUGGGGGAAACCCUGAUCCAGCCAUGCCGCGUGAGUGAAGAAGGCCUUCGGGUUGUAAAGUCCUUUCGCGUGGGAACAAGAGAGAUUAUCCAAUAAAUAGUCGAUUUGAGGGUACCACGUAAAGAAGCACCGGCUAACUCUGUGCCAGCAGCUGCGGUAAUACAGAGGGUGCAAGCAUUAAUCGGAUUUACUGGGCGUAAAGGGCGCGUAGGCGGGUCGAUAAGUCAAGUGUGAAAUUCCGGAGCUCAACUCCGGAGCUGCAUUUGAAACUGUCGAUCUAUAGAGGGAUGGCGGAGAAAAUGGAAUUCCACGUGUAGCGGUGAAAUGCGUAGAUAUGUGGAAGAACACCAGUGGCGAAAGCGGUUUUCUAGCUAUUUCCUGACGCUGAGGCGCGAGAGCAUGGGGAGCAGACAGGAUUAGAUACCCUGGUAGUCCAUGCCGUAAACGAUGUAUACUUGAUGUAGCUGGGGCUCAACCCCGGCUGUGUCGAAGCUAACGCGAUAAGUAUACCGCCUGAGGAGUACGCUCGCAAGAUUAAAACUCAAAGGAAUUGACGG